rnacentral:lncRNA from 1 species
UAGGUGGUCAAGAAUAAAAAUCAACUCAAACGAUAUAGAUAGGAUGAGUCGGGAUUGUUUCCACAGAAAUUUAAGGUGAUUAUUUUUUUCUUUUUACUUGAAGAAGAAAUAAAAAAAAUUGAUUGUAGAAGAAUUAAAAAAAAAUAAAAUAGAAAGAAUUAAAUUACAAGUAUAAAAUUAAUUUAUGAAAAAAAAUAAGUUAGAGAGAUAACUCAAAAAUUUUGAAUCUACCAUGCAAAUUAGAUUUAUUUUUUUUUAUGCUGUAAUAUUAAUUCUUGUGAUUAGGACAUUAGUAGAGCUUAUCUCUAAGGGGUACGGACUGUAUCAGUAGAUCACGGCUCAUCCUAUUAAAGUAUAAACUAUCUAAACUCAAUUAUAAGAUAUAAGAUUUAAUCUAACAUACUACGAUCUAUCACUCCUAGGCACGUAUCAUAUCCAGAGAUCACGGCACGUCAGUAGAGGGUAUAGACCGUGUAGGCUAGAUCAAUACUUCAGAUAAAUAAAAAUAUAUGAAAUAAAAGUAUAAUUUUAUUGCAUGAAAAUUAAACAUAUGAAAGAAAAUAAAAAUC